CACGCCUGUGAUCCCAGCACUUUGGGAGGCCGAGGUGGGUGGAUCACGAGGUGAGGAGAUGGAGACCAUCCUGGCUAACACGGUGAAACCCCGUGUCUACUAAAAGAAUACAAAAAAAUUAGCUGGGUGCGGUGGUGGGCGCCUGUGGUCCCAGCUACUCGGGAGGCUGAGGCAGGAGAAUGGCGUGAACCCGGGAGGCGGAGCUUGC
rnacentral:lncRNA from 1 species